rnacentral:rRNA from 1 species
GCAGUGUACCCGCGGCAAGACGGAAAGACCCCGUGAACCUUUACUAUAGCUUGACACUGAACAUUGAGCCUUGAUGUGUAGGAUAGGUGGGAGGCUUUGAAGCGUGGACGCCAGUCUGCGUGGAGCCGACCUUGAAAUACCACCCUUUAAUGUUUGAUGUUCUAACGUGGAUCCGUAAUCCGGGUUGCGGACAGUGUCUGGUGGGUAGUUUGACUGGGGCGGUCUCCUCCUAAAGAGUAACGGAGGAGCACGAAGGUUGGCUAAUCCUGGUCGGACAUCAGGAGGUUAGUGCAAUGGCAUAAGCCAGCUUGACUGCGAGCGUGACGGCGCGAGCAGGUGCGAAAGCAGGUCAUAGUGAUCCGGUGGUUCUGAAUGGAAGGGCCAUCGCUCAACGGAUAAAAGGUACUCCGGGGAUAACAGGCUGAUACCGCCCAAGAGUUCAUAUCGACGGCGGUGUUUGGCACCUCGAUGUCGGCUCAUCACAUCCUGGGGCUGAAGUAGGUCCCAAGGGUAUGGCUGUUCGCCAUUUAAAGUGGUACGCGAGCUGGGUUUAGAACGUCGUGAGACAGUUCGGUCCCUAUCUGCCGUGGGCGCUGGAGAACUGAGGGGGGCUGCUCCUAGUACGAGAGGACCGGAGUGGACGCAUCACUGGUGUUCGGGUUGUCAUGCCAAUGGCACUGCCCGGUAGCUAAAUGCGGAAGAGAUAAGUGCUGAAAGCAUCUAAGCACGAAACUUGCCCCGAG